rnacentral:rRNA from 1 species
AUCUUACUUUCGAAUACAUAGGGGUAAGAAGCGAACGCAGGGAACUGAAACAUCUAAGUACCUGCAGGAAAGGACAUCAACCGAGACUCCGUAAGUAGUGGCGAGCGAACGCGGACCAGGCCAGUGGCAAUGAUGAAUAAAGCGGAACGAUCUGGAAAGGUCGGCCAUAGAGGGUGAUAGCCCCUUACGCGUAGAACAGUCAUUGUCCUUGAGUAGGGCGGGGCACGUGAAAUCCUGUCUGAACAUGGGGAGACCACUCUCCAAGCCUAAGUACUCGUGCAUGACCGAUAGCGAACAAGUACCGUGAGGGAAAGGUGAAAAGCACCCCGACGAGGGGAGUGAAAUAGAACCUGAAACCGGAUGCCUACAAACAGUCGGAGCCCGAGCCUUUUAGUAGGUUGGGUGACGGCGUACCUUUUGUAUAAUGGGUCAACGACUUAGUGUAACUAGCAAGCUUAAGCCGGUAGGUGUAGGCGCAGCGAAAGCGAGUCUGAAUAGGGCGAUUUAGUUAGUUGCAUUAGACCCGAAACCGAGUGAUCUAGCCAUGAGCAGGCUGAAGGUUGGGUAACACCAACUGGAGGGCCGAACCCGUAUCUGUUGCAAUAGAUUGGGAUGACUUGUGGCUAGGGGUGAAAGGCCAAUCAAACUCGGAAAUAGCUGGUUCUCCGCGAAAUCUAUUUAGGUAGAGCGUCGACCGAAUACCCUCGGGGGUAGAGCACUGGAUGGGCUAUGGGGACUCACCGUCUUACUGAUCCUAACCAAACUCCGAAUACCGAGGAGUACUAGUCGGCAGACACACGGCGGGUGCUAACGUCCGUCGUGAAAAGGGCAACAACCCUGACCUCCAGCUAAGGUCCCCAAGUCAUGGCUAAGUGGGAAAGGAUGUGAGGAUCCCAAAACAACCAGGAUGUUGGCUUAGAAGCAGCCAUCAUUUAAAGAAAGCGUAACAGCUCACUGGUCUAAAUAAGGGUCUUUGCGCCGAAAAUGUAACGGGGCUAAAGCCAUGCACCGAAGCUGAGGAUUGUGGCAACCUUCGGGUUGCUUCAGUGGUAGCGGAGCGUUCCGUAAGUCUGUGAAGGCGGACCCGUGAGGGCUGCUGGAGAUAUCGGAAGUGCGAAUGUUGACAUGAGUAACGAUAAAGGGAGUGAGAGACUCCCUCGCCGAAAGACCAAGGGUUCCUGCUUAAAGUUAAUCUGAGCAGGGUUAGCCGGCCCCUAAGACGAGGCGGACACGCGUAGUCGAUGGGAACCACGUUAAUAUUCGUGGGCCUGGUGGUAGUGACGGAUCUCGUGUGUUGUACAUUCUUACUGGAUUGAAUGUGCGGCGAAGAGGUUCCAGGAAAUAGCUCCACCGUAUAGACCGUACCCGAAACCGACACAGGUGGUCAGGUAGAGUAUACCAAGGCGCUUGAGAGAACUAUGUUGAAGGAACUCGGCAAAUUGCACGCGUAACUUCGGAAGAAGCGUGACCCUUUUGUACGCAAGUAUGAUGGGGUGGCACAGACCAGGGGGUAGCGACUGUUUAUCAAAAACACAGGGCUCUGCGAAGUAGCAAUACGACGUAUAGGGUCUGACGCCUGCCCGGUGCUGGAAGGUUAAAGGGAGGGGUGCAAGCUCUGAACUGAAGCCCCAGUAAACGGCGGCCGUAACUAUAACGGUCCUAAGGUAGCGAAAUUCCUUGUCGGGUAAGUUCCGACCUGCACGAAUGGCGUAACGACUUCCCCGCUGUCUCCAACAUAGACUCAGUGAAAUUGAAUUCCCCGUGAAGAUGCGGGGUUCCUGCGGUCAGACGGAAAGACCCCGUGCACCUUUACUAUAGCUUUACACUGGCAUUCGCCAAGGCAUGUGUAGGAUAGGUGGUAGGCUUUGAAGCAUGGACGCCAGUUCGUGUGGAGCCAUCCUUGAAAUACCACCCUUAUCUUCGUGGAUGUCUAACCGCGGUCCGUUAUCCGGAUCCGGGACAGUGUAUGGUGGGUAGUUUGACUGGGGCGGUCGCCUCCGAAAGAGUAACGGAGGCGCGCGAUGGUGGGCUCAGACCGGUCGGAAAUCGGUCGUCGAGUGCAAUGGCAUAAGCCCGCCUGACUGCGAGACUGACAAGUCGAGCAGAGACGAAAGUCGGUCAUAGUGAUCCGGUGGUCCCGUGUGGAAGGGCCAUCGCUCAACGGAUAAAAGGUACGCCGGGGAUAACAGGCUGAUGACCCCCAAGAGUCCAUAUCGACGGGGUUGUUUGGCACCUCGAUGUCGACUCAUCGCAUCCU